rnacentral:rRNA from 1 species
AUUGAACGCUGGCGGCAGGCCUAACACAUGCAAGUCGAGCGGAGCGGCGGACGGGUGAGUAAUGCCUAGGAAUCUGCCUGUUAGUGGGGGAUAACGUCCGGAAACGGGCGCUAAUACCGCAUACUAUCAGAUGAGCCUAGGUCGGAUUAGCUAGUUGGGGGGGUAAAGGCCUACAAAGGCGACGAUCAGUAACUGGUCUGAGAGGAUGAUCAGCCACACUGGCAAUGAGACACGGUCCAGACUCCUACGGGAGGCAGCAGUGGGGAAGAUUGGGCAAUGGGCGAAAGCCUGACCGAGCCAUGCCGCGUGAGUGAAGAAGGUCUUCGGAUUGUAAAGCACUUUAAGUUGAGAGGCGUUACCAACAGAAUAAGCAACGGCUAACUACGUGCCAGCAGCCGCGGUAAUUC